rfam:Salmo salar isolate Sally breed double haploid chromosome ssa21, whole genome shotgun sequence.
UGCAUUCACUACUGUAAGUCACUCUGGAUAAGAGCGUUGCUAAAUGACUAAAA